UAAAAUUUUAAAUUCGCCAUACUACCUGCAUCAAUUUAAAAUAAAAAUAAUGUGUCAUUUAGAAACUUCUAGUUAAGCCCUGCUCAAGUUUAAUAGAAAGGGAGUGAUGGCUACGUGUUUACUUUUAUUUGUUGGGGAUUGUGUGGUUUCAGAAGAGGAAAUAAUACCAAUUUGGACUGCGACAAGCUGACACCAUUUCCCUUUACCUAACCUCACCUGUCUUCCCCAAUCGCACGCAGUUUUCGCUUUCGCUUAAGGUACACUGCGUGAUACAUCUCUGCUUUCAAGCCAAUAAAUAUAAUAAAAAAAUUAAUUAUUGGAUUAAGAAAAUG
rnacentral:lncRNA from 1 species